CCUACGGGAGGCAGCAGUGGGGAAUCUUGCGCAAUGGGCGAAAGCCUGACGCAGCCAUGCCGCGUGAAUGAUGAAGGUCUUAGGAUUGUAAAAUUCUUUCACCGGGGACGAUAAUGACGGUACCCGGAGAAGAAGCCCCGGCUAACUUCGUGCCAGCAGCCGCGGUAAUACGAAGGGGGGCUAGCGUUGCUCGGAAUUACUGGGCGUAAAGGGAGCGUAGGCGGAUAGUUUAGUCAGAGGUGAAAGCCCAGGGCUCAACCUUGGAAUUGCCUUUGAUACUGGCUAUCUUGAGUAUGGGAGAGGUUAGCGGAACUCCGAGUGUAGAGGUGAAAUUCGUAGAUAUUCGGAAGAACACCAGUGGCGAAGGCGGCUAACUGGCCCAUUACUGACGCUGAGGCUCGAAAGCGUGGGGAGCAAACAGGAUUAGAUACCCUGGUAGUCCACGCCGUAAACGAUGAGUGCUAGUUGUCGGCAUGCAUGCAUGUCGGUGACGCAGCUACGACAUAAGACACUCCGCCGUCGGGAGGUACGGUCGGCGAAGAAGUUAAAACGUUAAAAGGUAAAGUUAGUUACGGACGUGAGACGUGCCGACGGACGACGACGAGGGAGGAGG
rnacentral:rRNA from 1 species